rnacentral:rRNA from 2 species
UGGGGGAUAUUGCACAAUGGGCGAAAGCCUGAUGCAGCGACGCCGCGUGGGGGAUGAAGGCUUUCGGGUUGUAAACCUCUUUCGCUAUCGAACAAGGCCCGCUUAGGGUGGGUUGAGGGUAGGUGGAGAAGAAGCGCCGGCUAACUACGUGCCAGCAGCCGCGGUAAUACGUAGGGCGCGAGCGUUGUCCGGAAUUAUUGGGCGUAAAGGGCUUGUAGGCGGCUUGUUGCGCCUGCUGUGAAAACGCGGGGCUUAACUUCGCGCGUGCAGUGGGUACGGGCAGGCUUGAGUGUGGUAGGGGUGACUGGAAUUCCAGGUGUAGCGGUGGAAUGCGAAGAUAUCUGGAGGAACACCGAUGGCGAAGGCAGGUCACUGGGCCAUUACUGACGCUGAGGAGCGAAAGCAUGGGUAGCGAACAGG